UACGUAGGGUGCGAGCGUUAAUCGGAAUUGCUGGGCGUAAAGCGUGCGCAGGCGGUGAUGUAAGACAGUUGUGAAAUCCCCGGGCUCAACCUGGGAACUGCAUUUGUGACUGCAAGGCUUGAGUGCGGCAGAGGGGGAUGGAAUUCCGCGUGUAGCAGUGAAAUGCGUAGAUAUGCGGAGGAACACCGAUGGCGAAGGCAAUCCCCUGGGCCUGCACUGACGCUCAUGCACGAAAGCGUGGGGAGCAAACAGG
rnacentral:rRNA from 1 species